GUGUAGCCCUGUGGCGUGCUUCAUGCUUCCAAGGCUGGAGAACACACACGCACCUUCAAUGUUGGUGUCAUUUGAAGAUGUGGCUGUGGACUUUACCCAGGAGGAAUGGCAGCACAUGGACAACACUCAGCGGACCCUCUACAGGGAUGUGAUGCUUGAGACUUAUAACAAUCUGCUGUCCUUGGGGUACAGCUUGACAAAGCCUGAUGUGAUCUUGAAAUUG